CAAACUGACAUUCAUUUUUCUACUUUACCCAUUCAAAUCCCAUACCAUUCUUUUAAUCAAAUUCUUCUCUCAUAGCAAUUAAUUAUUCCGAUUUCCAAUUCAUCAUUCGUGGAAUCAGCAGUCUUCUUCAUCGAUUACAAAGAGCAUCAAAAUUCAUUUUCCUUUCUUAUUCUCUCUCUCUAUCUCACGCCACUCUCCCUUCUUUUUCUUUUCAGUUUCAAACAAAAACAAAGCUGAUGAUGACGAUGUAAAGAGGAGGCAGCGGACUGAAAAGGGUUGAGGAGAAGGCGUUGCAGGAUUGAAGAUUGAGAGGUUGUGGUCACGGUGGUGGUGAAGUAGACGGGUGAGGGAGGAGAAGCAAGACACGCCGUUGCAAACUGAAGAGAAUUCUAUCACGGCACAAUAUUGAUAACCCUAAGCUAUAUCAAAAUUUCAGAAUCUGAAGGUCUCAAGUGAAAUUAAGCAUGGAGAUGUGUUCAUGAGUAACUCAGGAUCAUUCAUGGAUAUUCAAUUUGCAAGAAACACAAAGAAAAUGGGUAAAUUGCAUUGAAGCUCAAGAUGAACGUAAGCCCUAAUUUCUGAAUUAAAUGGUGACAAGCAAAGGAAUGAGUAAACAGACAUGGGAGAAUGUUCAGCUUAAAGAAGUCUAUAGACCAGUAUCAAGAGUUCUCAGAAAAUCAGACUUAUGAUUCCCGGAGGUUUUCGAUUUAGGUUUAUGAUUUUGGUAUCUCUCUGUCGACGGGAAAUGGCAGGAACAACAAUUUUGCCACUUGAACAUUCAUGAGUAUCAGGUUUCUCUUGAUUCAUUUCCAAGAUUGUUAAUCUUCACUAUAGGCUUAGCAAGGCUCAAAUGAAAUCCAGGCUAAGUGUUUUAUGGUGUUACAAGUACAAGUUUGAACCGAGCAGGUUUAUCAUUGUUUUGAGUUUUAUCAAUUUCAAGAUUAUUCAUCUUCUUUAUCGAUCCGUAUCAAAGAACUAUGUCCCAGCUCAUUGCCAAGACCUAAUGGCCAGCCUGCCUGAGUAAUGUUGAUUGCUUGUUUGUCCAGUGCUGGAACUUGUCCUUUUGCUUGCAUAUUUGCUCAAAUUCACACUGCUUUCUGACUUUUUUUUAAAACUAUAAAAGUGUUGUGUAUAUUGACAAAUAGCAAAUUUGUAUGUGGAUCUUGUGAUUGCACCAAAUUACUCAUAUCUUGAUUGCACCAAAUUACUCACAUCUUAACUUUCAAUGGAAUAGGAA